rnacentral:rRNA from 1 species
CAGUCGCCGCGGUAAUACAGAGGAUGCAAGCGUUAUCCGGAAUGAUUGGGCGUAAAGCGUCUGUAGGUGGCUUUUCAAGUCCGCCGUCAAAUCCCCGGGCUCAACCCUGGACAGGCAGUGGAAACUACCAAGCUGGAGUACGGCAGGGGCAGAUGGAAUUUCCGGUGGAGCGGUGAAUGCGUUGAGAUCGGAAAGAACACCAACGAUGAAAGCACUCUGCUGGGCCGACACUGAUACUGAGAGACGAAAGAUAGGGGAGCAAAUGGGAUUAGAUACCCGCGUAGUCCCUGUCUCUUAUACA